GGAGUGAAGGAAGGAAGAGAAGGGAAGUAACAACAGAAAAGCAUCUGCGCAAGCCUGUCAUAACGAUUCUCACUUUGGGGAAGCGGAGUGAAGGCAAAGGCUGCAGCCUCAUGCAGGGCGUGGACAGCUGACUGGAGCACCAGGACCCAGGCAACCAGGGUACAGCACACAGCUCAGAGUCAGGAGCUGCAACACUAGACACUGUCCGUUGAAGAAGAAAGCAUAGUCAGACAAGCCGAGCAUCAGGAAACCAGGAAGAGAAGCCAAAGGGAAUAGCACCAGGGUGGCUGCAAAUCCAAUGCCUGGGGAUGUGACAACGAGAGACAAUGGCAGUGUCUGUGCUUAGACAAGCACAGUCUGCUCCUUCUCCUUCCAUGGCCACCCUGCAACACAAGAAGCAAAGAUCAAGCCAAGCUGUUCCCACUUCCAUGGGUGGAAAGAGCAUUCCAAGAUGAACCAUGAGAAAACAGAGUCCAUUUCUGUCUCAUCAGUGUUUCACAGCUCCCCACUUCAGACACUGUCAACACUUCAUGAAAAGCAACAAAUGUGAUUUGUUUGUUUAGUUGCAAAGUUGUGCCCGGCACAUCACAAGUGCAUGGACAACAUUCCUCCAGGCUCUCCUGUCCUCCACCAUCCCUUGGACUUUACCCAAGUUCACACCCACCGCCCCAGUGACUUUAUUCACAGGUUCAGCCCAACUCUCUCAAUUCUCAAUUUCCUUCAAUGCAUUACUUUAAACACUGGUUUCUUUUUGCAACAGCCUUCUGCCACCGUCUGUGUCCAACAAUGAAUUGCCAAGUGAACCCGACUUUCUCACCCACUGCCCUAAAACCCUGACACAAGAAGAACAAGGACUCACGUGUUCCUGAACUCCGCCCCAUCUGCCCAUUUCCAAGCUUCACUCUGGUCUUUUGAGAGGCCGAUCCAGUGAUCAGCCCUGCCCUUGUAACGCAGCAGGAACACCUGAGGUGCACACAGAAACAACUUAGAAUACCAUCUUGGAAUGGGCCUACUGCAAAAUGUCAGAAGGUAGACUAGAUAGAGAAGAAAAGGACAUGGGCUGACAGUUAAGCCGUGAGAUGCUGAGGAAGUGCUGAUGGAAUGGAGAUCAGCCCUUACUUUAAUACACUGAAGCCUUCAAGCAAAUCUACAGAACUAUCAGAGUUGGAGGCAUUGUGAGCCUCCUGUCUGACUGAAGGCAUCCCUGCUGGAACCCCUGGCAUGGUCCCUGCACUGGGCACCCCUAUAGCCCCCUGGGAGAGGCUCUGCCCUCCUUAUUCCCAGGAGGGGAGUUUUCUCACAGCAGGGAGCUGGUGCACUGCCCCUAGUGUCUAACAAUAUUACUACAGGCUUCCGCCACACACAGAAAUUAAUUUAAAUGAAUUAAUGUGUUUUACAAACUAAAAAACCUCCAAAGGUGACACCUGGUUGUAUGCAUGCCAUGCUUCAGGUGUCCAAGUGUCAGACUUGGUGCUUUGGCACUCAAGGAUAAAGGGCUGCACAUCUUCUCUUCUACAUGAGGAGUGUAAGAAUUAGAAUGGAUUCUUUUGGUUAUUGCCAAACAAACAAUUAUACAUAUUGAAAUGGAAUUCAUACAGACAACACAUUUUAAACUACCAUGCCAAUUCUGACCUCAUCCUGCACACUGAUACCAAAAUCACUAGUUAUGUUCACAAAUUUGUACUUCAUUGUGAUUGUCACAAUUUUAUACUUAAUUGUCCAGAUACUUCAGCUGGUCAGUCUAGAUACUUCAGUUGGUUCAGAAGAGAGCAGCCAGGUUGCUAGCAGGAACUGGCAAAUGCACACACAUAGUGCUGGGCUUGUACCAUCUGCACUGGCUUCCAACUAAAGCCCAGGCCCAAUUUAAGGUGCUAGUGAUGACUUAUACAGCCCUAAAUGGCUUAGGACCAAGGUAUUUAAAGGAGUGCCUCCUUCCACAUAUACUUGCCUGGCCUGUAAGAUCUAGAGUGGAGGACCUUCUUCUGGAGCCCUCUUUGAAGGAGAUCAGAAGAGUGGCUACCCGGAAAAGGGCCUUCUCUGUGGUGGUGCCCCAGCUAAAGAAUGGGCUCCCAGAGAGGUGCAUCUGGAACCAACACUUUUUUCAUUUUGAUGCCAGGCCAAAACCUUUUUAUUUUCCCAUUAUUUUAAAUUUAUUUAUUCAUUUUAUUUAUUACUUAUUAAAAGCUUUUGUAUGCCGUCCUUUAUAUAAAUAUCUCAGGAUGGCUUACAGCAAUAUAAAAACAAUUUAAAACAUAUAAUAACAUCAUUCACAGAUUAAAACAGUGAUACCGUAUGAAACAAUAAACAUCAAAUUAAUCAAAUUAAAUCAAAAUAGAACAAAGCAAAAGUUAACUAUUAACUGUUAAAGCACCACUUAAAUAAAGAGGUUUUAUUUGUUAGUAGUCUUUUAAGAUUGCUUUUAUGUAUUAUUAUCUGGCUACUGUAUCUUAUUUAUUGUAUCGUAUUACCGCCCUGAACACUGUGAAGGGUUAUAAAAGCUAUAAAUAAAUUAAAUUCUUAAAAAGCA